rnacentral:miRNA from 1 species
AGGAAGGUAGGGCGGGCGUCGCU